rnacentral:rRNA from 1 species
UACAGAGGUCUCAACCGUUGUUCGGAUUCAUUGGGCGUAAAGCGCGUGUAGGCGGCCCGGUAAGUCCGCUGUGAAAGUCGGGGGCUCAACCCUCGGAUGCCGGUGGAUACUGUCGGGCUUGAGUACGGAAGAGGCGAGUGGAAUUCCUGGUGUAGCGGUGAAAUGCGCAGAUAUCAGGAGGAACACCAAUUGCGAAGGCAGCUCGCUGGGACGUGACUGACGCUGAGACGCGAAAGCGUGGGGAGCAAACAGG